rnacentral:lncRNA from 1 species
UAUGUUCUAUAUGUAUCUAUAGAAUAGAUUAAUCGCAUAGGUGCAUUGAGGGCUUAUGUGAUUGAUAGAGAAUUUGAAACAUAUCAUCGUGAGGUUUGAUGCUUAAGUAGAAUGAAAUCUCUAUAAAGUAGAGAACAUAUAUACAUGAAAGUAUUUAUAUUCAUAUUCAAUACAGUUGAAUGACUUAUGAACAAAUGUAGGAUGCACUUUAAAGUAGAGAACAAUGACAUUCUCUUGACUCUAACGUAGAGAACUAUGACAUGCUCAUGACUAUGUUGACAAUGCCAUGUGAUUUAGCUUUACCUUUACUUGUCUACAAUCUAGUGGAUACUAGCUCUUGUUACUAUUUGUGUAUUGAAAUUCCGAUCAGAGGAUCGAGGGUAAGAACUUUGCAAAUGAAAAUAUGAAAAUUGGGACAUGUGGACAAUGGACUUUGCUUGCUUGCCAUCGUGCUCAUUCGCACACGCUUGUGAGGGUAGCUCCCUACAAGCCGGCACUCCGGAGUUGGCCUACGCGACAGUUGCUCGCCCGUGCGGGAUUGGGUGCCGAAGUGGAUUGCCGUGGGGAGUGUAUACUACCACGGGGCCAUUAGGCGCGGCGCAAGCUGGACUACCUUGAGUAGGUCCUAGUGAAUGAAAAUGAAAAUGAAAAUGAUAAUGAUAGUAAUGAAUGAGUAUCAGUUGUAGUGUACAGCAGUACUUACACUUCUAUGAUUAUGUUUAUGUUCAUGUUAUAGUAGUUACGAUACUUCUAUUAUCCAGUUGAUUCAUUACUGCAGAAAUCAUGUUUACAUGUUGAAUACAUGCCUGUUACCGGUUAGCACUGCAUAUUUCUAUAUCAUGCACUUAUCGCUUUUACUUACUUUCAGUACAUCAUGAGCCUAGUGGUGUAAUUCGCCGAGGCUGGCGGCUUACCCACUGGGAACUAUUGUUAAUAGUUCUCACGCCCUUUUGGUGGUUGUUUUUACAGAGCCAUCUACAGGAGAGGCUAGGGAUCGUGGCAAGGGAGUCGCGUCUAGCUAGACUUUGCUAGGAGCGUGCUAGUCGAUCACCUUGCUACUCGGGCUACGGCCGAGGGUGAUGUCCUUUGUAUAGAGAGACCACCAUUGUACCUAUUUUUGUAUACUCCGUGAUGUAUAUUUACUGUUGAUCCCGAUGUUUCUGUUGUGAUACUUG